AGUGAACGCUGGCGGUAGGCCUAACACAUGCAAGUCGAACGGCAGCACAGGACAGCUUGCUCUCUGGGUGGCGAGUGGCGGACGGGUGAGGAAUACAUCGGAAUCUACUUUUUCGUGGGGGAUAACGUAGGGAAACUUACGCUAAUACCGCAUACGACCUACGGGUGAAAGCAGGGGACCUUCGGGCCUUGCGCGAUGGAAUGAGCCGAUGUCGGAUUAGCUACGUGGCGGGGUAAAGGCCCACCAAGGCGACGAUCCGUAGCUGGUCUGAGAGGAUGAUCAGCCACGCUGGAACUGAGACACGGUCCAGACUGCUCCGGGAGGCAGCAGUAGGGAAUAUGGGACAAUGGGCGCAAGGCUGAUCCAGCCAUACCGCGUGGGUGAAGAAGGCCUUCGGGUUGUAAAGCCCUUUUGUUGGGAAAGAAAUCCAGCUGGCUAAUACCCGGUUGGGAUGACGGUACCCAAAGAAUAAGCACCGGCUAACUUCGUGCCAGCAGCCGCAGUAA
rnacentral:rRNA from 1 species